GAUGAACGCUGGCGGCGUGCCUAAUACAUGCAAGUCGAGCGAACAGACGAGGAGCUUGCUCCUCUGACGUUAGCGGCGGACGGGUGAGUAACACGUGGAUAACCUACCUAUCAGACUGGGAUAACUUCGGGAAACCGGAGCUAAUACCGGAUAAUAUAUUGAACCGCAUGGUUCAAUAGUGAAAGACGGUUUUGCUGUCACUUAUCGAUGGAUCCGCGCCGCAUUAGCUAGUUGGUAAGGUAACGGCUUACCAAGGCGACGAUGCGUAGCCGACCUGUGAGGGUGAUAGCCCACAUGAGAGCGUGGACAGCGACCAGACUACUACGAGAGGGAGCAGUCGGGAAUCUGCCGCAACGGGCGAGAGCAUGACGGAGCAACGCCGCGUGAGUGAUGGAGGUCUUCGGAUCGUAAUACUGUGUUAUUAGGUAAGAACAAAUGUGGAAGUUACUAUGCACGUCGUGACGGUACUUAAUCAGGAAGCAACGGCUAACUACGUG
rnacentral:rRNA from 1 species